rnacentral:rRNA from 1 species
UGGGUUGUGAGUUUCGCUCGCCCCUCUACGCCCGGGUAAUUACGACUAUGUCCGUCCAUAGGAUACGUGCCCCAUAUCCCCCUAAGAGGAGCCUGUCCUAUAAUCGAUACCCCCCGUUCAACUUCACCAUUUCUAGUAAAAUCAGCCUGUAUACCUCCGUCGUCAGCUUACCACGUGAGCGUUAGUGAGCUAAAUGUUUAUUCAACCACACGUCAGGUCAAGGUGCGACACAUGAGAUGGAAAGAGAUGGGCUACACUCUUAUCUUAGAGAAUACGAAAGACUAAUUAUGAAAUCUAGUCAGCAGGCGGAUUUAGAAGUAAAAUGGAACCAGAGAGUCCCUUUGAACACCCCAC